CCCUUAGAUGUUCUGGGCCGCACGCGUGCUGCACUGAGUGGAUCAGCGGGUCAGGUUACGCGAGAGCGUUUCCUAAUCUUCAAAUCCGCUCGUGAUGGGGAUUGACGGUUGCAAUUUUCCGUCAUGAACGAGGAAUACCUUGUAAGCGCGGGUCAUCAUCCCGCGCUGAAUACGUCCCUGCCCUUUGUACACACCGCCCGUCGCUCCUACCGAUUGAGUGGUCCGGUGAGGCUUUGGGAUCUAAGCGAAAAGAGCGUUUCGCUCCUUUUGCUGGGAGAACUCAGUCGAACCUUAUCAUUUAGAGGAAGGAGAAGUCGUAACA
rnacentral:rRNA from 1 species